rnacentral:lncRNA from 1 species
ACUAAUACAAUUAAGAGUCCUUAAAUUAAGGGAUUAAUAUUAAUGAGCUGACAUAACAAAUUACUUUCCAUCUUCCUUCGGUCUCUCUCUCUAUCUACCCCUUACUAUUUCUCUCUCUUCUCCCUUACUACUUCUCUCUCUCCUCUCGAAGCCACUCGUCGUCGUCCUCUUCCGCCGCCGUCGCCGCCGCAACACCAUAGUCUCUCAACUCUGACAGAAAAUUGAAUACGUGACUUUCAGGCUAAUACGUGAUUUUCUCUCUCCAACUCUCUCACAACUGAAAGGAUUCUGGUUUCUCUCUAAGGUAUGCUUCUAAUUUCUGUUAAUUCUC